rnacentral:rRNA from 1 species
CCGCUACAGGAUGGCCUCGCGGCCUAUCAGCUUGUUGGUGGGGUAACGGCCUACCAAGGCGACGACGGGUAGCUGGCGUGAGAGCGCGACCAGCCACACUGGGACUGAGACACGGCCCAG